rnacentral:lncRNA from 1 species
CCUGGGAACAGGAACACGUGGCUCCUUGAGAGCAGAACUUUCCUGCUUUGCUCCCUUCUGGAUUCGCAACACUAACAUCAUACUUGACAACUGGUAGGCACUCAGGAAGUGUUUCCAUAAGACCUGGAAGACAAGACAUAAUGUGGGGACACAAAGGCAGAUGAAGACUUAUUGCUCAUUCUUCUUUUUUCCACUUCCUGAAAUAGACAGUCCUUCCCUCCUGAUCCAAACCCGAUUCAUUGUGUCAUAUCUAACUAAAAUGGCACCUUUCCUAAGAGUGCUUGUUCUUUGUGACUCCAGGACGUUCUAUCAGCCAUUGUUGUGGAUACCCUUCCCCACACAUUUUAGAGCUCCAAGUACAGCACAGUGAUGGCAUUUCAUGCUCCUUGGAACCUGUGAGGUGGGUGCCACAUCGUCUUCACUUUUUGGAUGUGAAAGCUGAAGCUCAGAGGUCCUGUCACCAGUCUAUGUGUCAAGGUCAUACACAUCAGUUAGUGAACAGCCAGGGUCUGCAGCCUCACUGUCCAGCUUCGGGGGGCUCCACGCGGAAACUCCCUGCAGUUCUCUGUUCUCCGCGGUAACCUCACUCGUGGAUUCCUUUAAGGCCUAUUCUUUUAUCUUCAACUAAAC